rnacentral:ncRNA from 1 species
UAAAAGACUUUGAAGGGAAGAGUAGGUUUUGAAAAGCAGUUUAGAGAGCCGGAGAUGGUGAAAACCGGUCUGUAAUAGAAGCUGAAGAUGGCCCCCGAGUUGCAGGAUUGAAACCAAGUAGGUCCUGUCGCAGUCCAGCGUUACGGGCAGGUUUAUAACCCCUGAGGUGUAUUUCGCGAGGAAUUCACGAAAAAGAGUGGUAGCACGGAUAUAUUCGUCUCUUAU